GAUGAACGCUGGCGGCGUGCCUAAUACAUGCAAGUCGAGCGAACGGACGAGAAGCUUGCUUCUCUGAUGUUAGCGGCGGACGGGUGAGUAACACGUGGAUAACCUACCUAUAAGACUGGGAUAACUUCGGGAAACCGGAGCUAAUACCGGAUAAUAUUUUGAACCGCAUGGUUCAAAAGUGAAGGACGGUCUUGCUGUCACUUAUAGAUGGAUCCGCGCUGCAUUAGCUAGUUGGUAAGGUAACGGCUUACCAAGGCAACGAUGCAUAGCCGACCUGAGAGGGUGAUCGGCCACACUGGAACUGAGACACGGUCCAGACUCCUACGGGAGGCAGCAGUAGGGAAUCUUCCGCAAUGGGCGAAAGCCUGACGGAGCAACGCCGCGUGAGUGAUGAAGGUCUUCGGAUCGUAAAACUCUGUUAUUAGGGAAGAACAUAUGUGUAAGUAACUGUGCACAUCUUGACGGUACCUAAUCAGAAGGCCACGGCUAACUACGUG
rnacentral:rRNA from 1 species